GACGAACGCUGGCGGCGUGCUUAACACAUGCAAGUCGAACGGAAAGGCUCCAGCUUGCUGGAGUACUCGAGUGGCGAACGGGUGAGUAACACGUGGGUGAUCUGCCCUGCACUUCGGGAUAAGCCUGGGAAACUGGGUCUAAUACCGGAUAGGACCGCACUUUGGUGUGUGUGGUGGAAAGGUUUUUCUGGUGUGGGAUGAGCUCGCGGCCUAUCAGUUUGUUGGUGGGGUAAUGGCCUACCAAGACGGCGACGGGUAGCCGGCCUGAGAGGGUGGACGGUCACCUUGGGACUGAGAUACGGCCCAGACUCCUACGGGGGGCAGCCGUGGGGAAUAUUGCACAAUGGGGGAAACCCUGAUGCAGCGACGCCGCGUGGGGGAUGAAGGCCUUCGGGUUGUAAACUCCUUUCGCUAGGGACGAAGCUUUUUGUGACGGUACCUGGAGAAGAAGCACCGGCUAACUACGUG
rnacentral:rRNA from 1 species